GGCGCUGGAGAAUUGAGGGGGGCUGCUCCUAGUACGAGAGGACCGGAGUGGACGCAUCACUGGUGUUCGGGUUGUCAUGCCAAUGGCACUGCCCGGUAGCUAAAUGCGGAAGAGAUAAGUGCUGAAAGCAUCUAAGCACGAAACUUGCCCCGAGAUGAGUUCUCCCUGAGACUUUAAGUCUCCUGAAGGAACGUUAAAGACGAUGACGUUGAUAGGCCGGGUGUGUAAGCGCAGCGAUGCGUUGAGCUAACCGGUACUAAUGAACCGUGAGGCUUAACCUU
rnacentral:rRNA from 1 species